GGGAUGCGCAGGUCUGAUGGACUGCCAGUGGCCAUCAAGUACGUGUCGAAGGACCGGACCCCAGAGCGACUGAAAGUUGAUGGUCAGGGUCGGCUGCUGCUGGAGG